rnacentral:lncRNA from 1 species
UCAGCUUCAAUGUUGUAUAUCUCUCAUACAGAAUGGGUACCCGUUUUUUGGUCGAUGCGCCACAGCCGGCGCUUGUGGUACCAAUCAAGUGUUCAAGAUUAUAUGUACGAGCAAUGCAACAUUUGAUAUUUUUUAUACAUGGCUUUCACAAUAAAAAAAAUCAUAAGAAUAUUACUUAGUACAAGACAUUCCCACCAAAUGUUGUUCGCAUGGACAACUGAGAUGUCCACAUGGACAAUUUACACAAGGCGUACACAUGGACAACUUACACGAGGCAUACACAUGAAUAGCUUCUUGUCUUUGACUCCAUGCCAAGUCUUGUCCACAUUAUGGAGUUGUCCGUCCAAGAACAAAAAUAAUAAUAAAAUAACAGAUAAUUCAAUGAAGACACAUCGUUCAAACCAACAUUUCCAACAAAACAAAUACAUCAUAUAGCAAUAUAACAUAAAAACAGAACCUUAUGUUUCUCUAGGAUCCAUACAGAACUGAAUUAGCUUUGUAAGUCAUUUCAAAAUACUAGAUUCAAAAAUCAUAUAUACUUUGUGAAUCAUCCAAAGCUAAGUUUCAAAGGUAAUACAUAAUAAGCUGAGCUGAUAUAAAUAAAUAAAAAACGAAUCUAAAGGAAGCAAGCUGCAUCUUUUGGAAUCAGAGAUCAACUUUAUGAUUGAAAUUCAGUAUUGAGCAGGAGAAAUCAAAUAUAUUAAAUGUAAUCUUACCUCGCCAAACUGCCGUCAACUUAGUUCCAAUCUCUCCGGAUUUACAUCAUCUAGCUUCAUCUGCGGCUGAGACGGAGAUUGAGCAGGAGGUGGAGAUACAUCGGGUUUCUUAGCCACUUUCCCUUUGCCUUCAUUUGUACUUAUGGCUACAGCUCGUUUUUAUGAUAUUUCUCUGGUGGUUAUUCUUGUGGAGGAUGAAGGUAGAGGUGGAGAAGAAUAAGAUAGACCAACGAAUCAAGACUUUGAUUCAGAAAAACCCACCAUCAGAACAUGAGAGAGGUGUAUGCACGCUUAGAUUUUUUGUUUCUUUGUUUCAAAUCAGUAUAAUUUGAUCCAAAACCACUUUAUCGACAUAGAAAAAGA